AUUGAACGCUGGCGGCAGGCCUAACACAUGCCAGUCGAGCGGAUGAAGGGAGCUUGCUCCUGGAUUCAGCGGCGGACGGGUGAGUAAUGCCUAGGAAUCUGCCUGGUAGUGGGGGAUAACGUCCGGAAACGGGCGCUAAUAUCGCAUACGUCCUGAGGGAGAAAGUGGGGGAUCUUCGGACCUCACGCUAUCAGAUGAGCCUAGGUCGGAUUAGCUAGUUGGUGGGGUAAAGGCCUACCAAGGCGACGAUCCGUAACUGGUCUGAGAGGAUGAUCAGUCACACUGGAACUGAGACACGGUCCAGACUCCUACGGGAGGCAGCAGUGGGGAAUAUUGGACAAUGGGCGAAAGCCUGAUCCAGCCAUGCCGCGUGUGUGAAGAAGGUCUUCGGAUUGUAAAGCACUUUUAGUUGGGAAGAAGGGCAGUGAGUUAAUACCUUGCUGUUUUGACGUUACCAACAGAAUAAGCACCGGCUAACUACGUG
rnacentral:rRNA from 1 species